GAGUGUCUGUUGACCCCACUCGCC
rnacentral:rRNA from 1 species